CCGUCGCGUUCAGGAAUGUAUGUCUCAUCUAUUCUAUUAAUAUUCAUAUGAUUAUCCCGCGCUUGGAUUAUUUAUGGCUAUCUUUUCACGGAUCAUCAUAACUAAUCGAUCUAUCAUAUCUAAUAUCGGACACUAAUAAACCCCCCCUCAAUAUGUAAAAUAUUGUGUACAGGUUUUAACUAUGGUCUUUGAUAGUACUUAUUGUGUGUCCGUAGAAAGCUCUUCAAUAUAUUUUAUUAAUGUGUAAUUUAAAUUCUUUGACCCUCCUCCCUAUUAGAAAGCUGGGAAAACGAUAUUAAUCACGGUAUAUUUCUAGUCGCAAAAACAAUAAUAUACUUAUUACUGGAGCGAGAAUCAAAUUCGAUACAGGUAUUUGCAAUUAUUACCACAAAUUAAGAUAUAUGAGAUACGAAAAGACAACUUGUCAGUCGAUGACAAAAUUUUCUCGAACGGCCAAAUUAUGGCCGAAUCGUGGUUAAAUUGGGUACUAAUACUGACGAUGGUUUGUUUUGUCCUAAAAAAUAAUAUAAUAUGCAUAAUAAACGAAAUGUGUGAAAUGAUUAAAUAAAUAAAUCAUUUACUUCUUAGUUCUGCCGUUGCUAAUUUUUUGAAAGUUAGGUAUGGAAAUGUGUUAAAACCUGUUUACAAACAAUGAACUUUAUGUUUGAUUAGUAAAAUCUAGUAAUCAACGUACUUAUUUUUAACAAUGUAGGUUACUAAUGAUAUAAAUAAAAAUAGCUGAUACUGGAGACCUGUGUGCCACUGUUGUAGGUGGAAAGUUGGGAAAGUAGGAUACAUAAAGUUAUUUAAUUAAUAUCUAUUAGCAACGAUAAAUUAUUGUUCACAAAAAACGAUUUUGUGCGAAGUUUAGCUACACAUAUUUUGAAAGGCGUAAAUAUCACAUUUACGAUUUUCGUAAACAUUUGAUAAUUAAAUUCUUAUAAAAAAAAAUUCUACAUUACACUAAAUUUUAUUUUUUUAACCUCAAAGUUUGACUUAUGAUAAACUUCCUUUUCAAUUUUAAAACAUUUCUGUUCGGUCUAACAAUUUUAUCGAUAGAUUA